GUGGGGAAUAUUGGACAAUGGGCGAAAGCCUGAUCCAGCCAUGCCGCGUGUGUGAAGAAGGUCUUCGGAUUGUAAAGCACUUUAAGUUGGGAGGAAGGGCAGUAAGUUAAUACCUUGCUGUUUUGACGUUACCAACAGAAUAAGCACCGGCUAACUUCGUGCCAGCAGCCGCGGUAAUACGAAGGGUGCAAGCGUUAAUCGGAAUUACUGGGCGUAAAGCGCGCGUAGGUGGUUUUGUAAGUUGGAGGUGAAAUCCCCGGGCUCAACCUGAGAACUGCCUCCAAAACUGCAUGACUAGAGUACGGUAGAGGGUAGUGGAAUUUCCUGUGUAGCGGUGAAAUGCGUAGAUAUAGGAAGGAACACCAGUGGCGAAGGCGACUACCUGGACUGAUACUGACACUGAGGUGCGAAAGCGUGGGGAGCAAACAGGAUUAGAUACCCUAGUAGUCC
rnacentral:rRNA from 1 species